rnacentral:rRNA from 1 species
CACGUAGGGGGCGAGCGUUGUCCGGAAUCAUUGGGCGUAAAGAGCUCGUAGGCGGUCUGUCGCGUCGGAUGUGAAAAUCCAGGGCUCAACCCUGGACCUGCAUUCGAUACGGGCAGACUAGAGUUCGGUAGGGGAGACUGGAAUUCCUGGUGUAGCGGUGAAAUGCGCAGAUAUCAGGAGGAACACCGGUGGCGAAGGCGGGUCUCUGGGCCGAAACUGACGCUGAGGAGCGAAAGCGUGGGGAGCGAACGGG